rnacentral:lncRNA from 1 species
CACCGAGAGGGGGGGGAUUUGGGGAGAGGGGAGGGAGUUUAGGGGACGUGGAGGGGGGGGGUCGCGGGCCGGGUCACGGCGCGGCGGCGGCGAGGCGUCGGCCUGCGAGCGCGGGUCGGCCGCCGCGUUAUCAGGGGCUGUUAUCGCUUGUCAGGACCUCCGUCUCCCCGCAUUACGUCAGUUUCAAGACACCGACACUAUUAAUAUCAAAGGAGCCUUCGCGGAGGAAAGCGCCACCCCAGACGGAGCGCCCUUAAAGAGACAGCGCAGGCGGCCCCGCCGCGCCGCCCCCCCCUUCCCCUCACACGCAGCCCCCCCUCAGGGCCGGGCCGGGCCGGGCCGGGCUCCCCCGGGGGCGGCCAUGAGCGGGGAGCGGGCCGGGCCGCCGAGGCUUUGGCCGAGUUGGGUGUCUGAGGAGCAGCCCGCAGGCCACAGCCGCAUCCCCAGCGCGGCCCCCGCGAGGUUUUGGUGCCUUUUUUUUUUUCUUUUCUUUUUAUCGAUCGCAUUGAUCGCUGCUGUACGGAUUUUGAAAAGUCACCAACACCGCCACCGCCUCACAGCACCCCCAGCACCUCACAAAAAUGACAACGACACCACCAGCACCACCUCCGAGCCGCUGCCCACCCGCGGGACAGGGCACGGGGGGGAUGCCCGGGGGGCUCUGCUCGCCCCUCUCCUCCUGCUGUACCAGACAGACCGACGGACACUUCCCAGUCCUCGGCUGAACGUGCCCCGUGGGUGCCUUCUCGUUAACACCAAGCACAAAUUAGGUCUCGAGCUGCCCUGGAGAAGACCCUUACAACUGCCCUCUCUGCUCUCAGCCUCUCCGACUCAAAACGCGCCGCUUUCUCCCCUGCCACAAAUUGCCAGGAGUCUGUAUGUCGGAGUAAAAAACUCCGAGGAGAAGCACUUAGGUUCUGCUGUUGCUGCCAAGCCAGACCAGAGUGGCUGUUCGCUCGGAGACGCCUUGCCUGUGAAGGGUUAAAAUCAGCAGGAAAUGAUGCCCCCCACACCUUAAAUCUUCUCCAGCUUGCAUGUGUGCCUGCAGUUCUCCUAGAUUUUAGUCACAUUAUGACAGAUAAAACACAGAGAAGAUUGGUAACCAUGAAAGUGCAGGUUUCAACACGUGGAAACCUUGAUAAUAAACACACCUUUUUUCACCUGUAGAACAAUACGAGAUAUGUAUUUGUAAAAGACAUAAGCUUUUUGUGCACAUGCUUUUAAAAUGAAACCGCAGAAGCCGUUCCUAAACAGAGAUUAGAAAGACAAAAUGUGUCUUCAUAAUUUCAAGUCGACGACUUUAAUGAAAUACUCUCAGGAAAAGUAUGUUACAGUAUCUUUGUAAAAAAAAAAAAAUGCUUGCAUGAUACGUUCUGCAUUUCAAGUUAAAAUAAAGCAGAUCAAGAAGAUGUCAAUAUCAAUCUGUUUAUAUUCACCACAACAGAACUGUAGAGAACUUAAUAAAAGCAAAAAUAUUUUCAUAAACUUUUUCAGGCAAAUUAUUUAUUUAUGAAAUAAUUUAUAAAGAAAAUUUUUACCUCAUGGCUUAGAUACAUCGCAUAUGCUUGUGAUUGACACAAUAUGUUCAGGCUCAAAGGCCUGUACAGCCUUUUUUUUAUUUUUAUUUUUUUAUCCUAGCAGGAAUAUUUCAAAACAACCAACUAAUUCAUGAAGUCAUACAGUAAUUGUUUGACAGUUGUUUCUAAUAUAGAAAAAUAAGUUAUGUAUAUUGUUUUCAUUCAAAUAUUUGUUGAUUUGUUGUUAGAAUCCUUUGACGUUGACAUGCCGCAAAUUGCAUUAGGAGAAAUACUGAAGAUUUAUUUUCAUUUAUUAUCUUCUGCUGUCAAACAUUUGCAAAACCACUUAAAGCAAGUUUUAUUUCGCUUUACUUGAAUCUUAUAUUCUGCAUGAUAGUAGGUGGUUGCUGAAAUAACAAGUCCGGCUUUCUGGGGUAGAUAAGAACCGAGGAAGCGAAGGCAAAGCAGCAGCAAAGCAAGAAGAUACAGAGAAAGUGCUGCUUUCACAGCGAGGCAUGAACAAAGUAACUUCUAAAUAAUCCUCCAUUUUUUUUUUACACUCAGGCACAUUCUCCAUUGAGGGAGAAUACAGAGGCCCGUCACAGUUGCUUCUUGAAGGAAAACAGUAUAACAGUCAUUGUUUAUCAAGAUGACAUAACAUGCCAUUUAUGCCUUUAUUGUUUAAUGCAGUUUCUCUUUUCUUGUAGUUUACUCAGCGUAGAUACAAAGAAGGAUUAACAGUUAAGCAUAAGCAUACUUGUUUUACAAUUUCAGCCUUUUAGUGCAUAACUUACUUACUUAAAGUACUAGAGCCUAUAAUCACAAUGAUUUUACCUGAUGGAACAUGCAUUUCAGAAAUAUAAUCCAACUGUUUACCCUAACACGUCAUAAAUUGCAAUUCUUUACAAAAACCUCAGAGAUUGACAUCCAUUGCUCUUAAAUGCCUGCUGCUUUAGCACACAUCAUCAAGAAAGUAUUUCUGUAUUAUUCUCCCUCCAGUUGGUAGUAUAUCACAUGAAUUCUAAAGACCAUUUUCUUUUACUGUCUUCAAUAAUGAGCAUUUUGAGGAGCAUUUAGUUAUGUGUCUGAGGCACUCCAGCGUGAGUUUCUUGGGAAUAUAAACACGGCAACUUACAGAAUUUCUGCAGACCCACUUCUUUUCCUUGCACAACUUUUGUCACAUGAAAUCAUCAGGAAACUUUUGUUCCCUUUCUUACACGCUGCACAGAGUCAAGUUUCCAAACUUCAAGUUGUGCGCCAAAGGCAAAAAAAACUACCACUGAUUUUAAAAGAAACGGGACUGGAGACCCUAAUGAUGUGGUUGAAACGUCUCUGAAAAGAGAUUAUGCGUUGUGAUAGACAGGGCAGCGCUGAGAACAGCCAAUGAAACAGCAUGCAACAGAAGAGCUAAUACCAUGGCAUGAUCCCAGAUUCAGCAGAUGUUUUCUAGGGGGAUUGGAUAUCUGGUAAUGGGAAAUGGAACCUUUCUCUUCUCUGUCACCGUUUUUAACGCAGGCCAGUAGUGAUGGAAAGGCAAUAAUAUCUGAUGCUUCUUUGGUAGCUUUCUCCACUGCGUGGUAGGAACCUGUCCUCCUGGCUGGACCACACCAGGGCUGUCUGGGGCUCCCCAGCACCCUGGUGGCACUGCUGGCCCAAGGGCCUUUUUGGGAAAUGCCUGGAAACCCUCUUUCCCUGGGAGCGGUCUCCUGGGGAGGGAUGCGGAACACCGGCUGGGCAUGGGCUGCUCCUGCUAAUGGCGUGUCUGCAGAUAGUUAAAUAACUCUGGCAGCCGCAAAAGAUAAUUUAUCACUUUACACUAUCGUAAAAUCUACUAGAAAAUUAAAAAUGCUAAAACACCAGACUCCUUGAAAUCAUUUACAUGCAGG